CCUAUGGGUGGCUGCAGUGAGGAAUAUUGGUCAAUGGGCGAGAGCCUGAACCAGCCAAGUCGCGUGAGGGAAGACGGUCCUACGGAUUGUAAACCUCUUUUGUCAGGGAGCAAGGAGCGCCACGUGUGGUGCGGCGAGAGUACCUGAAGAACAAGCAUCGGCUAACUCCGUGCCAGCAGCCGCGGUAAUACGGAGGAUGCGAGCGUUAUCCGGAUUUAUUGGGUUUAAAGGGUGCGCGGGCGGUCUGUUAAGUCAGCGGUCAAAGCCCGGGGCUCAACCCCGGCCCGCCGUUGAAACUGGCAGUCUCGAGUUGGAGAGAAGUAUGCGGAAUGCGCGGUGUAGCGGUGAAAUGCAUAGAUAUCGCGCAGAACUCCGAUUGCGAAGGCAGCAUGCCGGCUCCACACUGACGCUGAGGCACGAAAGCGUGGGUAUCGAACAGGAUUAGAUACCCUUGUAGUC
rnacentral:rRNA from 1 species